UCUAGGACUAUGGGCUUGUAACCUGCUGAGCUAGGUUUCACCUGCAGAUACAAAGAAGCUGGUUCACCUGCAGAUACAGAGAAACUGGGUGGAUGGGAGGGUAGAAUCACAGAGUCAUUCGGAUUCCUUUCGGUUGCUCAAAUAUAACAUUGUAUCUGCUUCUAAAUUCAUGGGCAACAAUUGUCCUCUUCUGGUUCAAAGGCACAAUAUAAUCCCAGGAAUUUUUUUGCAAUCCAGGGGGUAGGUACUAAUUUUAUCCCUGAUAACAGAGGUGGAAACUGAGACACAGGUUAACUUAUCUAAGGUCAAGGAGCUCGC
rnacentral:lncRNA from 1 species